GAAAUACAUCCCAAAACAAAGCAGUCCCUAUGCUCUCAGAUUUGCAUGCACCUUCUCAACAAUACAUGUGACGUGUAUGUGGCAGUGCAAGCAUUGUGUUGCCAGAGAGAGAAAACACAGACACUGAGGCCAACACUUCAGUGGCGCAUACAGAAGGAGGGUGCAGAGCCUGGAGAUGACCCAGAAGACAUUGGUGUCCUGCUUGAAGGUGUGGAGGUCCUCAGUGGUUUGGGGAACAUUGUGAUUGCCUGUGCUCUGUUAUUUGGGCUGAAGCUGGAUGGGCAGAGAUUGUCAUCCAAGGCACAGUUCCUAAAAAA